CGGAGGAGAUUAAAAGGCAAUGGACGGCUGAGAUGUUGGCAAUAAUCUUGACCUAUCUACUGACCCAUUCAAAAAUUCAAACACCAUUUUCCUCCCAUUUACUAUCCCAAAAAUUGAGAGGCGAAAAUUCUCAAAUUAGGGUGGCAAAAAAUGAAGCGGGAUUGCGACUGAUUCUCACGUUGCUUGUUUCAUCGACGAAUCUGACAUUGAACAUGAUUGCUCCUCCAGUCCAUCUUCUCCAGCUACGAAAUCGAGUAUGGUGUGAAUUUUUUGUUGGAAUUUUGUUGUUUUAUUUGAGCUAAAAUUUUAGCCUCAGCUCCGACGGUCUCUGCGCUUCCAACGUCAUCCCAUCUCCAAAUCAAAAGUGAAAAGAUAAAAUAAAAAUACCCACCGGAGCUAUACAUGCAACUUCCUAUAUGUAUAUUGGUUUUGAGAAAGAGAAAGAAGAGAUCUAAGCUCGACAGCUUCGACUCUCUCUCCCUCCCAAUCAGCUCAAUUUUGUAGUUUUUACUGGUCCAAGUACUUACAACAAGAAAUGGCCAGUAUGGAAUUUCAACUGGAUGUUUUGGGAUUUUUGGCAAAUGCUCAACUCCUACAGUCUCCGCGCUUCCGGUGUUGUCCCAUCCCCAGCAAUCGCCCAACUCUAGUACACUACUCACGGGUAAAUAAUGAAGAAGAACUCUUGAAUUCUGUGAAUGUGAAUAUGAUGGUCCGUCGAGGAAAAUCACAUGUCAAAGGAAAAAUGAAAGGGACAGACACGGCUUGAUUAGUGGGUUAUGUUGAACUAGUUAUAUUAUGUUAAAUAGAGGCAAGGUGGAAAUCUGAAUUUGGUAUUUUAGUGUACUGCAGUAAGUUGGUUGAUUUUGGUUGAAAUGAAUGACUUGCUUCAUGUACCUUGUGUCUUUCAUUGAACAUUUGUUUAAUUAUAAUAACAAGAGUUUGGAGUUUGUUAAA